rnacentral:rRNA from 1 species
UACGGAGGGUGCAAGCGUUGUUCGGAAUCACUGGGCGUAAAGCGCGUGUAGGCGGCUCGGCAAGUCGAGUGUGAAAACCCAGGGCUCAACCCUGGAACUGCACCCGAAACUGCCUCGCUGGAGUCCCGGAGAGGGUGGCGGAAUUUCCGGUGUAGAGGUGAAAUUCGUAGAUACCGGAGGGAACACCAGUGGCGAAGGCGGCCACCUGGAUGGUGACUGACGCUGAGACGCGAAAGCGUGGGGAGCAAACAGG